rnacentral:lncRNA from 1 species
UGAAGCGGGCAACGGAAGAAAAUACAGAAGUCCACCGGUGUCAUCGGAGCGUGCUGCGGUUCUGUGCAUACAUAUGAGUACAUGCCAUUCUUUGUAUGUUAUGGUAGUUAUGGGAAUAAUUUGCCUCAGAAAUUCAGAAGUUUGUUUAUUUGUUGCAAGAGAGUAGAAGUGUAACAAACGUUGUAUUAGUGUUAUCUCUUGAACUGUCUGUUGUUUAAAACCUUGGAUCUUACCUAUAUAAACUGCAUGUUGUUUGAAGCCUAGCAUUUUUGUUUGCUAGUUUGUUUGCAUAUUUGAUUCGUCUGCUGGUAAGCUGCUUUCUUCUGCGAGGGCCAUGGUAGGUGGAACCUAAAGACAGCAAAACCAUAUGAGGUUCUCAUCUGUGCCUUGUGAAGUGAUGUCGAAGGAAUCUUCUAGCCUUCAUUGCAGAUUCCAAUUCUUAUAAAGAAAAACGCAAGACUUGACAUCCUUACAUUUUUUUUUGAACCAUGAUGUCCUUCUAGCCUUCGCUGAAUCCUACCAUGUACUAUGAAAUGAAACAUGAGAAUGUAUAACAGAAGUUUGGUUGCGCUUGCGCC